rnacentral:tRNA from 1 species
GCGGGUAUGGUGGAAUAGGCAGACACAAGAGACUUAAAAUCUCUCGGAAGAAAUUCCGUGCCGGUUCAAGUCCGGCUACCCGCA